rnacentral:lncRNA from 1 species
UCCACACUAUUCUCUAAAUAAAAGAGCACUACUGCCAGAUCUUGAGAGUCUAAGAAAUCUUUCUUUCGACUCCUCGGCUCACCGACCCCGCAUCACUCAUGACCGGCCAUCCACAAAAGAGAUUGCAAAGACAAACAGAAACCUUACCCUUUGACACAGCCAGGCAGACACAAUCCGCCACACACACGCUGAUUGUCUGUAUCCAAAGGAGAAAUAAAACUUCUCAUAUCUUUUCCAAAGCAAGAGAUUACAACUUGGAGCCAAGCACCUGGGCGAAACUCCCACAGUGACAGAGAGACGGGACCCUCUUCCCUGAUGCUCACAUUCCAGUAAGAUGGCUGCGAGGCCUUCAGGAAGGACACUCCUGGGAUGCAAAAGUGGCAAGAGGCUUAUUUCGCUUUUGUGACAGGUUUCCACGCACCUCAAAGAGAAGGAGGAAGGAUUCACAGUUAGCAGUUUUCUAAAGGAGUGCUAAAAGAAAUGGGAGAGGGAGAAAAGAUCUUUUUCCCUUUUGGCACCAGGGAAAUUUUUUAAUUGAAUUUUUGGGGGGAUUUUCAUUGUAGGGAAGGAAAAAUCUUUUCCCCUCUACCCUCUUAGGUUCAGUGGUGAAGCCUGAGAAUCAGUCUGAUAGAGGAUGACUCACAAGAGAUGAAACAGCUUUAAUGACCUCAUACGCAUGGGAGUUUCACAAGGAAAUGAGACUCCAGGAGGUGACAAACGCUUGAGGCCUGCACACCAUCUUAGACUACACGAAGGGAAAGGGGUUUGGACUUCUGGGUGAGGAGGCAAGUUAUGGGAAGGGGCAGGAAGGUCUUGUCCAUAAGGUUUGUCUUGUCUUAUCUUGAGAUGAGAGUCUCUCGGGGAUAAGAGCUGCCUCCAGGGGUAGCUUUCCUCCUGGUACGGACUUUUUUACGAAUGGAAAUUUCCUUUACCAAAGGGCACAUUUCUACUUCAUUUCUAGUCGGUUAGGGGAGGUAAGGAGCUUUUCCUGUGUCCGCUGGUUCUGUCUCCUUUAGCUCAAAAUAAUCCUUACGCCAAAGUGGCAUAUUCUGGAGUGACGCAUUCUGGUUCCUUCGGUGUCCACCUUCACAUUCUGCCUCGCUGGCUGUGAGAAUAUCCGUGUGAGACCCUCAGAGAACAAGUCACCCUAGAGACAAACACAGGCUCGCCAUCCUCAGGGGGACUUUUAAAUCCUGUUACGAGAACACGAACUUGUGGCGCUCGGGGUGGUCAUCACUCAGGCUUGUGUGCCCCGCUCCGUCUCUGCAGAGGGACGAGGAGAAAGGGAUGACUUUCAAGAACUGGAAAGUCAUCCAGAGCAAAGAGAUGGCCCCUCUGUGUCACUCAUGGGGUUGUAAUGAAGUUUAGAGGGCGUACAGUACGGUGUUUCCCCAUAAUCGUCACAACAGUAUCUGUAGUUUCACAUGCUCUUCCAGAAUCUUCUCACUCUCUCAUCGAGAGAGAGUCUGUGUUGCCUCCCCUUGAACCGAGGCAGGCUUUUGUGAUGAUUGUCCUGGAAGCAGCAGAGGCAGCACUGUGUCACUUCCCAAGGUGGGUCAUAGAUCACAGUCCAAUUUCUACUCGCUCUCUCUUUCUUGGACAUGCACAUUUGGGAC